rnacentral:misc_RNA from 1 species
ACAGUAAGCUGAAUGUCAUAUUUACCGGACAGAUAGAAAAAUUUCUCAACCAGCCCAAGAAAAUCUAGAACUAUCUCAAACUUCUUUCCAGAGUUCGCAACCAAAAAGAUAUGCUCAACACCAGUCUCAUGUCUCAACUUAAGAAUUGCCUGGUGUGGCUCAAAAGCAUGGCCAAGAAGAGUGGUCAAUUGAAAAGCCAGGUGCAGCUUCUGGAGGUGGUUUGCGGACAAUGAGACAAGAUUUUCUCCAGCUAAAUCUAGCUUAUUUUUGGUUUCUACAAUCCCCAAGUCACUA